rnacentral:rRNA from 1 species
AUGAGGGGCGACCGGGCGACUGGGCAGGCGACUGAGCCCGCGACGGCGCCCUCCGCGUCCAGUGAUCGCCGGCGGGUCGGCGGGAGGUUUUGGGCUCUCGCCGAUUCAGACGAAGAAGACGUGGACGACGAUGGGGAUUCUCCGGCGGAUCCCCUGCCCUCACCGACUUCUUCGGAUCUCAUUUGCGAAUUUUUUCAUUCAGGUUAUACUGAAGAUGAGGUGGCUACGACGAUUGAUCGUGUUCUGCCAUCGGAUGAUCCGGCGCGAAUCGGUCUUCGCGCGGACGAGAAGAAAGAGAUGAUUCGACGUGUAGUGCAUCGGAGGACGGCGGCAUCCGCGAUUCGACCUUGGAAGGGUCCCAUACCUAAGGUGAGUCUUCCGAAUCUUACGCUUUUCGACAUGAUUAGGCCGGAGUCGUGGAUUACUGUUAAGAAGAGGAAGAAUACGAGGCGGAUCGGCGGUCGUCAGGCACCGACGGCGCCGGUCUUGGCUGCGCCGGCGAUGGGGAUCUUGGAGGCGAGAGCGCGGCGUUUGAACAGUUUGUUGGGCUCCGUUGGGCCGGCUCGGAGGGAGUCGAGUCCACGAGGAGUUGGGCCUAGGUCAGAUGGGUAUGAGGCCCAUGCUGAACCGGACCAUACUCCAUCCCGCAACGCAAUCACAUGCACGUACGAGGGGGAUCGGUCUCCUUCCUGUCGUGCGCCGUCGUCUGUCGCUGUUAGGGUUCGCAGGCGCGGGACCAGGGGAUUCCCCACGUGUGGUGCUCGUCGGGCGAGAAGGAUUCGACCUCUCCUGGACAUGGCCGGUCGCGGGGCUGCGCCGCCGCCAUCGAAGAGACUCGCCUCGUCCGCUCCAGCAGGGCGGGGCGGGGAGGAGCCGCCUCCGGCGGCGGGGGCCGGGCGUGGAGCCCUCGUGCCGCCGGGCCAGAGGCAGCCGGCAGGCGGGGGCGUUCCACUGGGACCGGGCCGCGGUAAUGCUAACUCGGGCGUGAGGCCGCCGGCGCCUAUUGCUUAG